GUGGGGAAUUUUGGACAAUGGGGGCAACCCUGAUCCAGCAAUGCCGCGUGCAGGAAGAAGGCCUUCGGGUUGUAAACUGCUUUUGUACGGAACGAAAAGCCUCUGGUUAAUACCCGGGGGUCAUGACGGUACCGUAAGAAUAAGCACCGGCUAACUACGUGCCAGCAGCCGCGGUAAUACGUAGGGUGCGAGCGUUAAUCGGAAUUACUGGGCGUAAAGCGUGCGCAGGCGGUGAUGUAAGACAGUUGUGAAAUCCCCGGGCUGAGCCUGGGAACUGCAUCUGUGACUGCAUUGCUGGAGUGCGGCAGAGGGGGAUGGAAUUCCGCGAGUAGCAGUGAAAUGCGUAGAUAUGCGGAGGAACACCGAUGGCGAAGGCAAUCCCCUGGGCCUGCACUGACGCUCAUGCACGAAAGCGUGGGGAGCAAACAGGAUUAGAAACCCCUGUAGUCC
rnacentral:rRNA from 1 species